rnacentral:lncRNA from 1 species
AUGGCCUUCUACCUGGCGUCCCUGCCUCAGGGCUCCCCACUAAGACGUGUCCUCCACACAGGCCCAGAGACUACUCUAGAGCACAGGCCCAGGGAGCCGCAUUACUUCCAUCGAUCUCUGCAAAGAGCCAGAAUCCAAUGGCUUCCCCCAUCACCCCAAGCAUCGAAUAGCAAAUCCUCUGUUGGACAUCUCAAAAUCCCCACAAAGCGGCCCUAUGCAGCCUCAUUAUCCACCAAGCUGUGCACUCUCUGUCUCUCUCUCUCCUUCCCUCUGCUCUCUUUUCUGUCUCUCUCUGUCUCCCCCCCCCCUUAUGUAUUUCUCCCCCUUUUUCUCUGUCCUUUCUCUCUGUCUCUCCCCUUCCCUCUCUUUUCUGUCUCUCCCUCUCUUUUCUCUCUCUCUCUCUGUCUCUCCCCUUCCCUCUCUUUUCUGUCUCUCCCUUUCUUUUCUCUCUCUCUCCCCUCUCUUUCUCUCCUCUCUCUCCCUCUCUGUCUCCCUUCCUCCUUCCCUCCUUCUCUUUCCUUCCUUCUCUCUGUCUCUGUCUCUCUCUCUCCCUUCUCUCUCUCCCUUUUCUCUCUCUCCUCCCUUUCUCUCCUCUCCCUCCCUCUCUGUCUCCCUUCCUCCUUCCCUUUCCUUCCUUCUCUCUGUCUCUGUCUCUCUCUCCCUUCUCUCUCUCUCCUCCCUUUCUCUCCUCUCUCUCCCUCUCUGUUUCCCUUCCUCCUUCCCUCCCUCUCCUUCAUCUCCCACCUUUCUGCCUUUGCUCUUGCUAUCCCCUGGGCCUAG